CCUGGGGGGCUGCAGUGGGGAAUAUUGGACAAUGGGCGAAAGCCUGAUCCAGCCAUGCCGCGUGUGUGAAGAAGGCCUUCGGGUUGUAAAGCACUUUCAGUGGGGAAGAAAGCCUUGGGGCUAAUACCCUCGAGGAAGGACAUCACCCACAGAAGAAGCACCGGCUAACUCCGUGCCAGCAGCCGCGGUAAUACGGAGGGUGCGAGCGUUAAUCGGAAUUACUGGGCGUAAAGCGCGCGUAGGCGGUCUGAUAAGCCGGUUGUGAAAGCCCCGGGCUCAACCUGGGAACGGCAUCCGGAACUGUCAGGCUAGAGUGCAGGAGAGGAAGGUAGAAUUCCCGGUGUAGCGGUGAAAUGCGUAGAGAUCGGGAGGAAUACCAGUGGCGAAGGCGGCCUUCUGGACUGACACUGACGCUGAGGUGCGAAAGCGUGGGUAGCAAACAGGAUUAGAUACCCUAGUAGUC
rnacentral:rRNA from 1 species